UACGUAGGGUGCAAGCGUUGCCCGGAAUUAUUGGGCGUAAAGAGCUCGUAGGCGGUUUGUCGCGUCUGCUGUGAAAACUCGGGGCUUAACCCCGGGCCUGCAGUGGGUACGGGCAGACUAGAGUGCGGUAGGGGAGACUGGAAUUCCUGGUGUAGCGGUGAAAUGCGCAGAUAUCAGGAGGAACACCGGUGGCGAAGGCGGGUCUCUGGGCCGUAACUGACGCUGAGACACGAAAGCGUGGGGAGCGAACAGG
rnacentral:rRNA from 1 species